rnacentral:rRNA from 1 species
AUUGAACGCUGGCGGCAGGCUUAACACAUGCAAGUCGAGCGGAGAGAGGUAGCUUGCUACUGAUCUUAGCGGCGGACGGGUGAGUAAUGCUUAGGAAUCUGCCUAUUAGUGGGGGACAACAUUUCGAAAGGAAUGCUAAUACCGCAUACGUCCUACGGGAGAAAGCAGGGGAUCUUCGGACCUUGCGCUAAUAGAUGAGCCUAAGUCGGAUUAGCUAGUUGGUGGGGUAAAGGCCUACCAAGGCGACGAUCUGUAGCGGGUCUGAGAGGAUGAACCGCCACACUGGGACUGAGACACGGCCCAGACUCCUACGGGAGGCAGCAGUGGGGAAUAUUGGACAAUGGGCGCAAGCCUGAUCCAGCCAUGCCGCGUGUGUGAAGAAGGCCUUAUGGUUGUAAAGCACUUUAAGCGAGGAGGAGGCUACUUUAGAUAAUACCUAGAGAUAGUGGACGUUACUCGCAGAAUAAGCACCGGCUAACUCUGUGCCAGCAGCCGCCGUAAAAC